rnacentral:lncRNA from 1 species
UGUACAAAGGCAAAGCCCACCUCGGUAUCGCUGCUGUUCUGGGGCCCGUGGAGGUCUCUGCACUGUGCUGCUGCUGCUNNNNNNNNNNCCCAUCAAACCUGCUGCUCUUCACAGGUGUCUCACCCAUGGAGAUCUCUGCACUGUGCUGCUCCUUCCCCAUCAGACCUGCUGCUCUUCACAGGUCAGAAGAACCUACAGUGAUGCUGGAUGAGAAGAACACAGAAGUUCAGUUUAGAUUUCUAAUUACUAAAAUACGUAUAAAAU